rnacentral:tRNA from 1 species
ACACAGGUAGCUCAGUUGGUAGAGCGGCGGUCUCCAAAGCCGUUGGUCGUAGGUUCGAAUCCUGCCCUGUGUG